ACUCCUGCGGGAGGCAGCAGUGGGGAAUAUUGCACAAUGGGCGCAAGCCUGAUGCAGCCAUGCCGCGUGUAUGAAGAAGGCCUUCGGGUUGUAAAGUACUUUCAGCGGGGAGGAAGGCGAUAAGGUUAAUAACCUUGUCGAUUGACGUUACCCGCAGAAGAAGCACCGGCUAACUCCGUGCCAGCAGCCGCGGUAAUACGGAGGGUGCAAGCGUUAAUCGGAAUUACUGGGCGUAAAGCGCACGCAGGCGGUCUGUCGAGUCGGAUGUGAAAUCCCCGGGCUCAACCUGGGAACUGCAUUCGAAACUGGCAGGCUAGAGUCUUGUAGAGGGGGGUAGAAUUCCAGGUGUAGCGGUGAAAUGCGUAGAGAUCUGGAGGAAUACCGGUGGCGAAGGCGGCCCCCUGGACAAAGACUGACGCUCAGGUGCGAAAGCGUGGGGAGCAAACAGGAUUAGAAACCCGUGUAGUCCCAUGAU
rnacentral:rRNA from 1 species